AAUUAAUCUGAUCAGUGUGUUUUCAUGUUAUAAUAUUGUUGUACACAAUUAAUCAAGAAGAAACGAAGUCCGUGUCAGGAAGAAUGGGCCAAAACUUAAUUACAGAUUACACUUGAUAACAAUCCAGACUUAUGUAAAUAAUGGGCUGUUUCAGAUAUGAAUGGAUCAUAUAACAGAAAUACCCACAAAAUCGUAAUAUACAUCCAUCAACACACUUGAUUGUGCUAUUAUCAAUAGAGGAACAACUUAAUUUAUAAAAAAUAAGUAAAAAUAAAAAAAUCCAAACACUGAAAUAUCAUCAUCUUGAUCUGUAAAGAGCUUGCCGAUAAAGAUAUGUUUAUGAUUUAUAUCCAAGAUGUGAGGAAAAUAAGCAAUCUCCUUGGAUAGAGAGAUUUCUUUGGAGGAAUGGUUCAUACUGAGGUGGUGCUGCAGAGGCCUGAGAGGGACAGUUGCAUGAAAAUGAGAACCAGGGAAGAACAUCAAUGCCUCAAACCCAAACUAGCUGGAGAACGAUAAAUUUUGGAAAAAUAAAAUUGAACAUAAAAAAGAAUUCUAGCGA